GGUGAGUAACACGUGGGUAACCUGCCCAUCAGAAGGGGAUAACACUUGGAAACAGGUGCUAAUACCGUAUAACAAUCGAAACCGCAUGGUUUUGAUUUGAAAGGCGCUUUCGGGUGUCGCUGAUGGAUGGACCCGCGGUGCAUUAGCUAGUUGGUGAGGUAACGGCUCACCAAGGCCACGAUGCAUAGCCGACCUGAGAGGGUGAUCGGCCACAUUGGGACUGAGACACGGCCCAAACUCCUACGGGAGGCAGCAGUAGGGAAUCUUCGGCAAUGGACGAAAGUCUGACCGAGCAACGCCGCGUGAGUGAAGAAGGUUUUCGGAUCGUAAAACUCUGUUGUUAGAGAAGAACAAGGAUGAGAGUAACUGUUCAUCCCUUGACGGUAUCUAACCAGAAAGCCACGGCUAACUACGUGCCAGCAGCCGCGGUAAUACGUAGGUGGCAAGCGUUGUCCGGAUUUAUUGGGCGUAAAGCGAGCGCAGGCGGUUUCUUAAGUCUGAUGUGAAAGCCCCCGGCUCAACCGGGGAGGGUCAUUGGAAACUGGGAGACUUGAGUGCAGAAGAGGAGAGUGGAAUUCCAUGUGUAGCGGUGAAAUGCGUAGAUAUAUGGAGGAACACCAGUGGCGAAGGCGGCUCUCUGGUCUGUAACUGACGCUGAGGCUCGAAAGCGUGGGGAGCAAACAGGAUUAGAUACCCUGGUAGUCCACGCCGUAAACGAUGAGUGCUAAGUGUUGGAGGGUUUCCGCCCUUCAGUGCUGCAGCUAACGCAUUAAGCACUCCGCCUGGGGAGUACGACCGCAAGGUUGAAACUCAAAGGAAUUGACGGGGGCCCGCACAAGCGGUGGAGCAUGUGGUUUAAUUCGAAGCAACGCGAAGAACCUUACCAGGUCUUGACAUCCUUUGACCACUCUAGAGAUAGAGCUUCCCCUUCGGGGGCAAAGUGACAGGUGGUGCAUGGUUGUCGUCAGCUCGUGUCGUGAGAUGUUGGGUUAAGUCCCGCAACGAGCGCAACCCUUAUUGUUAGUUGCCAUCAUUCAGUUGGGCACUCUAGCAAGACUGCCGGUGACAAACCGGAGGAAGGUGGGGAUGACGUCAAAUCAUCAUGCCCCUUAUGACCUGGGCUACACACGUGCUACAAUGGGAAGUACAACGAGUCGCGAAGUCGCGAGGCUAAGCUAAUCUCUUAAAGCUUCUCUCAGUUCGGAUUGCAGGCUGCAACUCGCCUGCAUGAAGCCGGAAUCGCUAGUAAUC
rnacentral:rRNA from 1 species